ACUCUCUGCCUGCCUGCCUCCCUGCCUGCCUGCCUGCCUGCCUGCCUGGUGCGCUCAGCAGUAAGAGGUGAUAUAGGCCUAAUCAUUAUUACUCUAUGAUAACUGAUAAAUCAUCCUCAUAUGAACGGUCACUAGGGGAAAUUGGCUUUUGCUAUUUCAUGUGUAACUGCAUUGCACCUGCAGAAACCCCAUCAGCAAAACAAGUCAGCCAGCACUGAAUCAUCUGCAGGUAGUCUGCUAGGCUAUAUUGUCAUUAACAAACUACUGGAAUUGUGUUUGUGUGUAUAUGGAUGGGUAACUUUGGGUCCUAGUGUAUGCUCACUUUUUUCAUAUACUGUAGUUCCAUCCUAUUUGUAUUUUUUUUAAUUACUGCUUUUUGAAUGCAGGCAGACCAUUGAAAGGUCUCUGUACUUUGUAUUUUUCUUUCUCAGUGUGAGAAGCCAGUUCCCAAGUUCCAUUACAAUUGUCUUUCCAGACUUAGUUGUUGUGACAAACUUUCAACCAGAUAAUUCAGUUCCCUGGGUGUAAUUACUCAGUUGACUGCAGGCCCAUUUAGAUUUAAUUAAAAGUGGGAGCCCAAUAUCACUUGUCAUUGCACCUGACACCCUGGCAUUAACUUUGCAGCUUUGCAUUCAUUAGAGCAGGCAGUCAUCUCCUAAAGUUGUAUCUUAUUUACAGCAUAAUCCUAACAGACCAAAUAUAGUGGAGCAAAUUGUACAUCCUUAGGUUAUGAAAGUAAGAAACUGAGGAGUGUGUGUGUGUGUGUGUGUGUGUGUGUGUGUGUGUGUGUGUGUGUGUGUGUGUGUGUGUGUGUGUGUGUGUGUGUGUGUGUGUGUGUGUGUGUGUGUUGGCAGAGGCCUCCCAGGUUCCCCACAGUCAUAACACGGUAGGAGCAUGGCUGUGUCUUUGCUCUGCCAAUUAUCACUCCGGAAAUUCAGCAAACAGACUAACUACAUCACACGCGCACAGUGUGUGGGGUGACUGAUGUGAGAAAUCUGCUAUAAAGCUUUGUCUCUAAUUAGAUGAAACAGGAAAAAUAGAUCUCACAAAACAUCUUGCUCACCUUACAUUUCCUCUGCCAGGUUUUGCUUGAAAGGCAGAGGCAUCUUCAGCAUCUAUUCUACACUCUCUUAGAAGGCCGAUACAUUUCUGCUGUCAUUUCUGCUGUGGACUGACUCCGUGUUACAGGAUUGUCAAAAUGAAAUUGAAUUCUUUAGAGCAGAUAGCUACAACUCUUCAGGGAAAUAGCCAGAGACAAUAUACAGUCUAUUCAACAGCAAUUAAUACAAAUGAAUAAAGAUAGUGCUAAAGUAACUAUUCCUCAUAUUGAGUACAUCCCAGUUCUUAAUGGUAAACACAGCAACUUGAUGUGUGAUCUGCCUUUUUAUGAACACUAUUUUCCUGUGGACAAAGAGAGUUAGGCCACUGACUGGACUAAUAGCCUUGUUUGGUAUGCAGGUCUACCGGAGGCCCCAAACAUAACAAUUAAUUGGCUCUAGUUCUCCUUUGUGUCAGAUCCCACAUUUCAACUCAAUUAAACCCCAUUUUAUUACAGAGCUGCGUCUGCGGCAUAAGUGUGACUAAUUGGAAAGUGGAUGAACAAGGAAAGCAAUUUUCUCACCUAGAAAUGACUCACCUACUCGUCGCACAAUGCUUUUCUUUUAUCGAACAAAUGGUUCAAGCUUCUGCACAAACUUCUUAGGAACAGUGAGCCCCAUUGUCAUGUUGGAAGGGUGGAUGAAUGAUGCCAAUUUAUCCAUCAUUACAUAACAUAGGGAUGUCUUCCUUUGUGCUCAUUCACUAUUAGAUGAGAAUAGAAAAAAACAUAAUUUCACACAGACAGGGCAAAUACAGUUUAUUGUUCAAGUUUUAUUGUUAAAGCCACUUAGUCCUAAAAACCUAAGAGGGAUUAACAUUCAUUCCAUAAGAUUUAACAAUGGAAUAAAAGCUGUCAUGUUAAUCACGAGACAUCUUUAUAAGCUAGGAGAAUUUGUUAUUUUAUUUAAUGGUUAGCACCAAUCAGUGCUGAAAGCCUUGCACUCUCCUGGAUAAGCUCUUGAAGUGUAUGUACAUUCAUAAAAGUACAUCUAUUUUUACUUUGCCUUUGACUCAAUUCAUUGGUCUACACCUCCACUAAAGUAUUAGCAGGGAGUUUUAUAACUAACCCAAGAUAGAUCAGAGCCUGUCGUUUCCAAUGGGAGCAAAUGAAUCAUAGUGGGCAGAACAAGCAAGGUGGGCAGAGCCAAACACGAGCUAGUGAGAUCUUAUUGGCGCGUUAUUUGCAUAUUUCCGGUAGGGAACGCCUUCUCUGUGACGUACGCGUGUGCACUCGAAACAAUGCCCUUUUUUUUUUACUUUGGCAAAGGGUAAAGUCUACAAAACACAGUCCACUCUGUUUGUUACAGAUUUUAGAUUGGUAACAGAAACCUGUAUGGAGAUCAAAUGUUUCAUGGAUGAGAAAAUGAGCAAGAAUGUCGGCCAAAGUCCAUCUCGCUCGAUAUUCUCCCACUGCCGGCCACUAGUGAGUGGAAAUGCUCAUUGUUCUAUCUGUGGUAUUACAUUUUCUGUGAUAGUGAGACACUUCCCUCUUGUGGUGAAAAGGAUACAGUAGUUGUAUGGAAGUCAAAUGUUCUGACUGCGCCACCCUGUGGUAAAUUCUAAGUACUGCAAUGAGAAUACUGGAACACCACUGAUCAACAACCACUCCUUAUGAAAGUAACGUGUUCAACAGAGACGUGACAGUUGGUGAUAGAGUGGUGAAAUGAAUAGUGAAAAGCAUCCUUCUCAGUCAACCUUAACGUUCAAGUUGUAUUUUGAUGUCGUGUACAGAGGUUAGGUUUAGAGUUGAGGUUGAGGGAAUGUGUUAAGGUGAGGGUUAAAGGGGUUAACAUAGACUCUGGCUUGGGAACUUCUUUGUACAUUUGAACUGUAAGUUGUCCUGUUAUGACUGUAUAUGACUGUUUUGAAUAUCACUCCCUGACCACAUUUUAUAAAGUGCCUGGGGAAGUGAGGGCCUCCACCGUGGGAGAUUUAUGAUAUGGAUGUAUUUUAUUAUCAAGUAAUAAAAGUGGUCCGGACAUCUGUUUGAUUACUUUUAUGAAACAGGGGUGGCAAUACUGAUGGAGAAUUACGAGGCGAUAGACUGAUUUACUUGCCAUCAGGAUAGCUGACUUGUUGUGAAGGUUGUACACUGGGUGAAGUGCUUCAAAACUCCAAGUAUGGCAGUACCAAGUAUCUCAAGUAAGGAAUGCAUAAUGGAUACCAUGCCAAACAAGCAAAAGCAAAAGUCUGUUGUAGGCUCAGAGAAAAGUGUUGGUAGCAAAAUACAAAGGAUGCUUUAAGUUGCUCUUUACCAUUAAGCAAUACCGAGCUGACCAGUCUAAUUUAAAUCUUACCUGAAUUCAGAGGUAUACUCUGCCAAUAACAGAGUGGGCUAGACUGGCAGAGACGGAGUGUUUGUUUCUAGAAAUAAGGGUGUUUUAGAUGGGCACAUUCUGCUGGUAAUGAUAAGCAGGGCUGUUGGCAGGCGGCUGGUGUGGGCAGGGCCAGAGAGACAGCCAGGGGUUUGAGUUAGCUUAGGCCCAGACGCUCAGACCGUUCUGUUGGAGGGACGCCAGUGAAAUUCCCUGGCCUGCUAGAGACAAAUGAUUAUGUGAAGAAGAAGAGGGGUCUGGGCCGCCAAGAGCAUAACUUCCCGUUAGAAUGGGUAAUUAGAGGACCACACAGUUAGUUCAAUCCCAUCAGUCACUAGGAAAACGGAUCGAUGAAGGAAGGAUGGACGAAGUGGGGUGCAGAUGCAGAUGUGCUGAGUCACAGGCCAUUGUGACAUCCCUUCCUCUGUCUCAAAACAACAAAGAUCCAUCUACAGUUGAGCCAGGACAAAGGAUGAUUUCAGAGAAGAGGACAGAGGGGGUGACAUCCGUGCGAUGGAAGAGUGAGCACAGGGUGGAGGACUGGAUGUGUUGGGAUGAGUCAAAUCCUGUUCUAUCCUCAGUGGAAGAGCUGAGCUCUCCAACCGCAUCCAUCCAUGAUGAGCAUGUCCUGCACUGAAACCCGCUGAUCACCUCAACCCCUGUCCUGCACUGAAGCCUCUGAACACCUCAACCCCUGUCCUGCACUGAAGCCUCUGAACACCUCAACCCCUGUCCUGCACUGACGCCUCUGAACACCUCAACCCCUGUCCUGCACUGAAGCCUCUGAACACCUCAACCCCUGUCCUGCACUGAAGCCUCUGAACACCUCAACCCCUGUCCUGCACUGAAGUCAAGCCUCUCGAACACCUCAACUCAUGUCUUAUAACCCCAUUCAGUCACUGCUGUGAUCCCUUCCCAACACUGCGUGAGUAUCAACAGUCAACAUCAACUUUCAUUCCCAUUCCCCACACUAUUUAACAAAAAAUGUAUUUAU